UGCAUUUGUAGUUUAUAGAGGAUGAGAAUCUCCGAAGGAGGUUUGAGCCGAGCGCAGCGAGACAACGUUGCUUUAGCAACGGCCCGCAGGGCGCGUCACGCAGUGACAAGUAAUCCUCUCUCGCCGACCA
rnacentral:sRNA from 1 species